rnacentral:lncRNA from 1 species
AAAAGAGGACCUGCCAAGGGUGUUGUUCAGCUGUUAGGAGAAUUUAACUCUGGGCAUGUGUUGGACUGAAGACAUUCCGGCAUGGGAGAUAAGAAAGCAUGGUUUUGAUGAAAAAUAAGGAUGAGUGGCAGAAGAUCAAUUAGGAAGCUGCUGCAUUUGUCCAUGAGAAGAGAUGAAGAUUUGGAUGUGAUUGAAAGCACUGGGACACAGAUAAGUACAAUGGAGGGGAAAAAACAUAAAAUUAAUAAAAACAGAGAAAGGCAAGGAAAAUAAAUCUUACAUAUUUCUGUAAGGGUGAAAAAGGAACUAUCUGCUUACCGCAUAUGAUAAAGGAUCAUGGCAAAUAGCCCUAUAACA